rfam:Musa acuminata subsp. malaccensis Doubled-haploid Pahang (DH-Pahang) genomic chromosome, chr1
UGAAGGAAGCGAUAUUGGUGAGGUUCAAUCCGAUGAUCGGCUUACGAAACGACCGUAAGCCCUUCUCGGAUUGAGCCGCGCCAAUAUCACUUCGUCUUCU